rnacentral:lncRNA from 1 species
CCACAUCACCCUUCACCUUGGGACCUUUCAGAUGCAAAUCAAAGUCAGGCAUGGAGAUCUUGGGGGCUUUGAUGUUCAUCUCUGGCAUCUUGAAUUUAGGGCCCUUCAGUUUCGCAUCUGGACCUUCAAUAUUCACAUCUGGAACAUCAACGUCCACCUUGGGUCCUGAGACGUCAAGGUCAGCCUUGGGCAGGUUCACAUCCACAUCUGGGCCCUCUCCUUUGAAGCCAGGCAUGCUGAACUUGGGCAUUUUCACCUUGGGCAUCUUCAGGUGCCAGUCUGGGCCUUGAACAUCCACAUCUGGGGCAUUAAUAUCCACUUUGGGGCCUUUAAUAUCCACGUCAGGAACUUUCAUGUCACCUUCCACUUUUGGCAGAGACACAUCCAUGUCACCCUUCACUUUGGGACCUUUCAGAUGCAAAUCAAAGUCAGGCAUGGGGAUCUUGGGGGCUUUGAUAUUCAUCUCUGGCAUCUUGAACUUGGGCCCUUUCAACUUUCCCUCUGGUCCUUCAAUGUUAACAUCAGGGCCUUCAACGUCCACUUUGGGGCCUGAGACAUCAACGUCAGCCUUGGGCAGGUUCACAUCCACUUCAGGGCCCUCUGCUUUGAAGCCAGGCAUGCUGAACUUGGGCAUUUUCAUCUUGGGCAUCUUCAGGUGCCAGUCUGGGCCAUGAACAUCCACAUCUGGGGCAUCAAUGUCCACUUUGGGCCCUCUGAUGUCAACAUCUGGCACUUUCAUUUCACCUUCUACCUUGGGAACAGACACAUCCAUAUCCCCUUUGACUUUGGGGCCUUUCAAGUGUAAGUCCACAUCAGGCAUGGAGAUCUUGGGGGCCUUGAAGUGCAUCUCAGGCAUCUUAAACUUGGGCCCUUUCAACUUUGCAUCAGGACACUCCAGAUCAACAUCGGGCAUGGAGAUCUUGGGGGCCUUGAA